UGGCUCUGGCAUCGAUGAAGAACGCAGCGAAAUGCGAUAAGUAAUGUGAAUUGCAGAACUCAGUGAAUCAUCGAAUCUUUGAACGCACAUUGCGCCCGCCUGUAUUCUGGCGGGCAUGCCUGUCCGAGCGUCAUUUCAACCCUCAAGCCCCCGGGCUUGGUGUUGGAGAUCGGCGAGCCCUCCGGGGCACGCCGUCUCCCAAAUUUAGUGGCGGUCCCGCUGUAGCUUCCUCUGCGUAGUAGCACACCUCGCACUGGGAAACAGCGUGACCACGCCGUAAAACCCCCCACCUCAAAGGUUGACCUCGGAUCAGGUAGGAAUACCCGCUGA
rnacentral:misc_RNA from 1 species